UUUAAAUAUCUCAUAUGUUUCCAAAAUGCAAAUACCUAAGGCAAAAGACAGAGAAGGAGAGAAGUGUUCAUAAGGAUGGGCUGUUCUUCCAUCAGUGCGAGAGCUCAGACAGCAUGUGCACAACCUCAAGUUCAGCUGCAGUUUUAGUUACAACACAGACAUCUUCCCAACACUUUUCUGUAUUUACCUGCUGCUUUUUUCGAAUUUUUUAAGCAUCGCAACCCAAAUUUUUAAGAGCCGACCGCCUCCAGCUAGGUCAUCUCUCACCGCCAGCUGUCAGAGACCCAUCAACAACUGGGCUUCCAGCACGUUCCUGAACACGUAAAUUAUUUGCAGCGGCCAAGACUCCUCGUUUGUUUGGGCGGCAGAGCGGGGAGGCACUCGGAGCUCCUCCAGCGCCUGGCAAACGCCUCCCCGCCGCGGGGGCGGCGAACAUCCCGGCGCUCGGGGGCUGCGGGCACAGGUGGCAGUGUAGAAGCCAAGAACAAAAAUUGGCAGAAAUUGUGUUCUGUGUACAAGAAUAUGAAGAGUGUACUCAUGACUAAGCACAGGAACCUGGAAAACCACAGGGUUUAGUCAGGUGAUCCCUGAUGAGUAGCCAGCCCACCAAGAAGGGACUUCAGCACACAGUGCAUUGGAUUUCCCAGCUAUCCAGUGAUGCUGUGUGAGGCAUUCUGUCAACAAAAGGGAGAUGUUUCCCCUGGGAGCCUUUAGAAGGCUGCUGCAGUGGGAUGGAGAAGCAAGUCUCCAAAUGGGAACAUACACUUCAUUUAGAAGAAAGUGCUGCUACCAAAUGAUGGGAAAAUGCUUUGAACCUGUGUUGGAACAUAGAAUUCUCAGGUCUCUUACCUGUAAAUCUGUGCAUUAUUUACAGAGCUUACUGUGCUGUAUAGGUGGAAAACAAUUAGAGUGGAAAAGCUGUGUUAUCCGUAACUCUAAAGCUUGUACAUGAGUGACUCUGCUUUAUUAGUAAGUAGUUUAUUAUUGAGCCUUCCUUACAACAUUUGACAGGGAAAAGGAAUUGUUUCUGGCAUUACUUCACGUGUUCACAGCAGUAGUUAUGAAUCUCUUAUGGGCAGAGAGAUAAAAAGAAGUAAGAGUUAUUCUGAAGUUGAUCAUGCUAUUAGCAGAUACACAAUGGAGAGCCAAGAGUGCCUGUCAUCCUUGCUGCCUAUCAGAAGUGUUCAUGCACAUGUUUUUGUUUGGGCUUCCCCACUCAUCUUAAGAAAAGAGUGAGGAUGAAUGAGAUUGGCUUUUUGAUAGUAGUUCCUGUGUUAGUGCUGUGUUUCACAAGCUAUCAGGCUCAAGUAGACUUUAACAAAUGAUUUAUCAGUAUAAGUCUACCUGGUGUUUUUGAACUAUGUUUUGAUAAUACUUAGACUUUUUAACAGCUGUUACGCUAAAAAGGCAGUAUUUCCUUCAUCUGAUAUUAAGAAUAAAAGUAUGCAGUGUGAAAUCUGAAUUUAAUAUGGACACAUUUAAGUUCUCUUAAAUUUAAGUUUUCUCAAUGUCAUCUUACCUGUAAUAGGAAUCUAGUUCUAAAGGCUCUGUUUCAAAGAUUAAAUUUAAUUGCAGCAAUGGAUCUGACACAUUCCUGACUGUCGUACAGUAUUUUGCAGUGAGUUACUUCCCUUGUCCAGGUAACCUUGCAUUUAGAUAAACUACUGUGCAUGAAUAUAGAACUCUGACACUUGUCUUCUGUGCUUAUUGCAGAGAUUGCUACUGAUAUUUUUCUUUUUAGACCAACAGAACAAGUACUGACACACGUCAGUGUGUCUUGCAGCUGUAGAGAGAUGGAGACCACCUCACUUGUGAAACAAAUCUCUGUUCUGAACUGCAAUCUUCAUUCACAAUACUGAUGCAGACACAUUAAAUGGUUGAUCUGUGUCCUCUGCUUGCUGAUUCAUACUUAAGCUGGCUUUGAGUUUUGCCCUUUUGAAAUGCUUGUAGUGUUCUGAUGUACCAUAAGUUUUUGGGUUGCUUGAUCAUCCUCACUGUCCUGUCUGGGUGUUUGGUGUUUAAUCCUACCUUUAGAGUAUACUCUGCUGUCAUUUCUUCAUGCUGCAUCUCUGAUUAUGAAAAAGCCCUUUUGGGCAGGAAGUUGUUGAAUUGGAGUAGGCCUGAUUCAAAAAUGCUCUGAUGUUUAUUCUAGUGUACUGUGGCUAAUUCAGUACUGGAAUACCUUAAAAUUACUUGGAAUAAAAAAAGCAAACAAUCCUACAGAACUCUUAAAACUUCUCAGAGGAAUAACCAAGACUUUCUCCUGCUCUGCAAUGGUGUUUCUAAGAGUAGGAAUAGAUAAUACUUGCAUUUAGAAUAGAUGUCCUAUUAAGUAGCAAAAUUUAACAACAGCUGAGUGGGCAUUGCAGUAAAUCAAACUGGAUGGAAUAGGGCAGGUAUAGCCUGGGUUUCUAUAAUACAGCCUGUAAUCACAGUCUGCUUUGAGUUGGUGUUUUAAGUAUGUGUUGGGAACCAGGAAUAAUGGCUUUUCAGUGGAGCUCUUCACUUGGAACCUGUAGUCACACGCUCCUGAAGCAGCACUUACUCAGGCCACAUCAGGAAUGUCAUGAGAAGCUCCAGUUAAAUCUGCUGUUGUAACACAGUGUUCAUAACUCUCCAAGAGAUCUUCUCAAAUUGCAGAAUGAGUUUAAUCACUGUCCACCACGACACACUGUAGUAGUGGGGUGUUAAUCUCACAGCUUUGGUAGCAGAUCCUGUUUAAUACACAGCUCAAAACUGAGAUCCCCUUAUAAUUGCUGUGGUCUGCUGUUUUGUGAUAGCCUGAACCUAUUAGCAAUCCAUAUGAGAUUAAAUAUUACUGAUAUUCCAUACUAUCCAGGAUUUCCCUUCAAGAGGCUUUGCUCAAACUCACUGGUAUGCUUGUCCUUAUUAUUUUUCUUAGCAUUGUGAAUUCCUGUCACUAUAGUCACUGCCUGCCCUGAAUAAAUUUGCCUUCUUCAUUUUAAGGUCACCUUAAAUGAAGGACAAUAUUUCUUCCUGUUUGUCCUGGAUAUACUUUUGAAUUUUUGAGUAUUCCUGAGAUUCUUGAGGUAUCCCAUUUAAUUGGAUACUUGAGUGAGUUACUUUUCUGUUCUUUCCAGUCACAUCUUACACAAUGGUCCUGGGCUAAUUUUUGCCUUUUUUCAUGGAGAUGGUCUAAAAACAGUUCAUGUUAUGGAAAAACUGAAAGAUAGUCUUGGCAAGAUUCUGAGUGGGUAAAACAGCCUGGAGAUCAUAUCUAUCAUGAGAGAAGAUGCUUCUCCAGCUGGUGCCUCCUCUAUUCUGUUUCGUGGGAGUUAUACACUCGCACAAAAUAUUUCUAUAAGUUCAGUCUUCUCUUUCAGGUUCUGUAUUUCCCCUUUUGAAAAGAGGGAUAAAGUCAAAGUUAAAUUUUCAUAUUGUAAUGUGUUCACAUGCAUUUUUUUCACCUACUAAGGUCAUGGGUUUGUGGUUUUUCUUCCAAAUCCCAUUUAAGACUUACCCCAGACUUUUGUGCCUUUUUAGCAUAGUUAUUGUGACAUUUUCUAGAAGUUUAUUGAUUAGCACUUGCUGUGUACAAACUGCUUUUGUGCUGAUGGAUGCAGCCCCGUGUUUUGGUUCCCUCUUAAUUAUCUGUAUGAUAAUUAAGAGGUCAAGCAUGAGAGGGCAGCCUGGCUUUGACUUACACGUGUCACUCAAAUGUUAAUGGCCUUAUUACACAGCUCAGCUAGUGGCCCAUGCAGUACAGUCCUAGAUCCAAACAGGUCUUUCUGCUGAAAUGCUUAAAGAAGGUAAAGCAGUACUGACAGCCAUCUAUCUCCCCUGCCAAGGCACUUGUUUGUCCCUGUUUACCUGAUCACUCCAGUGAAGUGCAUGUAUGCCUGUAUAUUUAUGUGGAAGGAGCAGGGGAUCCUCACUCAAAUGGUUGUCUCAGUAAAACAGUCUUCUUGUUUCCCUAAGGUCCUUCAGUUCUGUGUACUUUAAAACUCCUCUGCUGGUUAACUUGUAAAGCUGGAAUUGUGUGACUUCUUCCACAGUGUUCCUGGGAAGACCAGUUUGGAAUAAGAAUCUUACUAACUUUAAAAGCAUUGGUGCCACUGUCCCUUACACAUCACUAUUCCUGCUUUCUCCUAAGUUAAAUAUAGAAUAUUGCCUAUCUAGAGCUGCAUGAAUUGGUGUUUGUAACCUGUGUGUGACUGGCUGGUGUCUAUUACUUCAUGCAGAUUUAACACCAGUAAAUAUUACCCUGGGUUCUGUAGAAUAGAUGCCUAUUUUAGGAAACUUCUUAGCACAUUUUACCUGUUGCUCUUCUGCUAAACGUAUCUCUCUUCACCAUUUAUGGUCUAAAGGAAGCAAAGUCAUGUGAGCUGUGGGAUAAACACACACAGUUAGGUCUCUGUGGCACAGUAGCAUGCUGUUGUCAUGUGAUAAUCUUCAGGCAAGAUAAAAUGUGCCCUUGGCUUUCAGAUGUCUCUUGCAAAGAUUUCUUAACACUUGAAGAAUUGCGAACCUUAUUUUUGGUCAUUGAAAGUUGCUGCAUCUUCUAAUUUGCAGAACACUUGCCUAGAACACCAGUUCUGGUUUAAUUUUAGAUUUUCUGAAGACCUUGACUGCAUCUGCAUUGUAAUCUGGGCAUUAUGUUCAGAUUUGCAGGCUUCUGAGGGCUUUAAUGCUCCCUGACGAUUUUUUUGAAGUCCACCUUAAGACUGUGUUGUGCUUUUGUUGAAGUUGUAGAUUCUGCAUUGUCUUUCACACACUUGUAACUUGCACCCUUGGGUUUCCAGGGUAAAGAUUACUGCUGUAUAACAGGUGUGACACCCUGCGUGGACUUGUUCUGUUUGUUGGGAUGGUUCUAGGAUUUACCAGGGGGAGGAAGGUGGCUGACAUCUAAACUGCAUGUACUGGAGGGAUAAAGUGAGUACCUCUCAUUCAUAAGACACAACAACGCCCAAACCAUGCCUGUAGCCCAGAUUCCCAAUCCUUCAGGUUUACAACUAAUUGGUUUAAAACACCUAUCUAGGUAGCUAUUUUAUUUUCUUUCCCCAGCUUACCUGGACCUGCUUGGGGGCCAGAGUUACUUUCCCUAUAGCACUGUAAGGGAUGUUAUAUUAUUAGAACUUAUAUUUUAAGUUCUCAGCAUAGAUGUUUUAAGCUUCAUAUUGCACUUGGCUGGAAGAGGGGGGGAGGAUGUGUUUACUUCCCCCAGUUGAGUUCACUUCACAGGAAGGCAGGUAGGAGAUGGUGGGCAACAGGACAGUAAAUGAAUUUAUAUUUGCCACCCUCUUGUUGCAUAUUUGUGUGAUACAGGACCAGGUAGCUUUGUAACAUCAGCUCUGUAAUUGGCUAAUUAAGUACCUUAUUUUGUGAAGUUCAAGUUACACAGAUGCUAUUCUCCUGUGAAGUAUGUACUAACUGCACUUAGGAGAGUAAUUAUCUUUAAAGUAGGUCCUUGAGAAAGAUACAGAAGGAUCACACUGUUAAUGCUGCCAGUUAGUCUUAGAAAUUGUUGGCACUUGGCUUGUUACCCAACUUCUGGAUCAAACUGGUCUCAUCCCUGGUAUGCUUUCACUUGUUUACUAGGUGCUUGCCAUUUUAUGCUUUUUCUUUCCCUGAUAUUUUCUUCUUUUUUUUUAUUUUUAUCUUUUCUUUAUUUUCUUUCUGUCAUAUUUUCUGCAUGUAAGUAUCCAGCAUUAAUAAAUAACAGUGUUACUAAAGAUGAGGGCCCCUGUUUUCCACACAGACUGGGUACUAUAGAGGCUGUAACUGCAUGGUAGCUUGAAUUGAAUUGCAUGGUAAGGACAUAGCAGGGCUUUCAGAGCUCAGCCAUCAAAGAUUAUGUGCUGUAGGGGUAUUGAGAGAGGCUUGUUUGAGUAAGUUCACCCAGCAUCAGAAUUUAUUAGUAUUUAGUCUUCAGCUGAAUCAUAUCUGCACUAAAAUGCAAUAUUUUGUGAUUACCUAUUUAGUUUCUGCUCAUGUUUCAGCUGCAUUGAUAGUCAAAUUGUUGAUAUUUGGCAUGCUGGGGGUGUGCUGUUGCAAGGUGCAUGCAUGCUGUUUAGAAAAAGAAUUAAGCUAGCUAAGAAACUGAUAAAAUAAUUCUUUGACAGCUGUUGAAUCCUUAGCAUCUCUACUACAGCAAUAUUGAUGUGCUGUGAGCACCAGCUAUUUGCUUCUUGAAUGGCUGGGUGGGUCUGUUUUGCACAUGUUCUAUACCCUGAUGUGCCUGAAAGUGCUGGUGUACAGUGAGUCUGGCAAAGCCAUUGCAGAGGCACAGGGGCUGUGACUGCUGAGGGGAACCCAGAACACACAGGUUGUGGGGGGAAAGUGUUUUUUUCACUUUUUUUUUUUCCAUCUCUUCUGUGCUUUGGCAGUCUCCUGCACUCUAACCCUUCCUCAUGCUUAGAAACAUUUGGUUUGUGUCCACACAAGCAGGUCUGGUUGUGGGUGUUUCUCUAAUACAUUUUGUGUGCACAGUGCUACCUUCCCUAUGUCUUGUAAAAAACUGAGCUGGAAUCCUCUGGCAAGGUGUUUGUUUAACACUGUGUGCCUAAACAGAAACGUCACUGGCACUGUUUGCUGCCUUUAUAUAAAAUUCUACCUUACUGCUCAUAAAAUUGUGAUUUGAUGAAUAAGUUAAUUCAGUUUCUCACAUUCUGUUACCAUCCAGUGGAUGGUUACAAUACACUGGGGUAUGAGCAUGUACUAACAAUAGCUGACAACUGAAUGUUACUCACUUGCAAAACAGUGUGGUCCUAAUGCAGGCAUUAGAGAAACUUAGUUCAUUACUUCCUAGCAUACAGAAGCCUCUAACUUAGGGACCUUAACUCAUGCUUAUACCCUUCCAUGGAAGUUUUGUGCCACUCUUCAAAGCUGCAGGCUUCAUUAUUCCAUCAAUUUCAUUUUGAACAGUUUGCUUAACUCCUUAUGAAACCUAUUUUAUUAUGGCUGUAAAACGUAUGUUGAAUUAGUCUACAGUUUGGCUUGGUCAUUUUUUUGUGUGCUCAAAUUAGUAUUUACAGCAUCCUUUAUGGAUUUCUGCAGCUAAGCCAGUUUCUUAUCUGUUUGUAUCAAAUCCUUCAAAGACCAUGUCUGUGAGGUCAAUGCAAAAAUAAGUCCUGGUUAAAGGUAACUGUGUUUGCAUUUAUCAGCAAUCAAAUUUUAAAAACAAGUUAGUUAGUUGGCCUUUGAGAAUGUGAGUGGUUUUGCCUUUAGGAAGUUGUUUUAGAAGGCUGUGCCAACUCUAUACCUCCCUAGGCUUGCUUGUACUAGUGCUCUCUGGAAAAGCAAUUUAAGAAAUGUCUUGGGCAGGAUUUUCAUAAAUCUAUUCAGCCCAAUCAGAAGCUUCACUUAAUAGAGCAAUGUAUAAAUAGUGCGGAGAGUCAAGUGACCAUCAGCUGGUCUGAAUGGGUUUGACCACUACAGUCACAGGGUCUGAGGUAUGCAGGAGCUGGGAUCACUGAAAACAUGCUUUGCUGCAGAGAUAUCCUGGUGCUGGCAUAGUUACAUAACUGCAGAGGAAUUCAUGUGUGUGAGAAUGAGUUUUAAUUGGACACCUGUAUUUAAUGUUGGUUUCACCUUCUGUGUCAUUACUGUGGAGUUUUAAAAAAGAAAAGUCACUGCCUUGAUUAACUUGCCCAUUUUGUUAAGUGGUGUGUAUUGCAAUGCAGAGCUGAACUCCACGAUUAUGCUUUUCCUUUAUAAACUCGGUGCCUACUUGCUUGAAACAAUGCACUGAUCUGUUUUACUGAAUUCAGAACUUAAGACAGAAUGGCUCUUUGCCUAAGUUCAUAUUAGGUAAUUAGAAGUUCUUGGCAUGCUUGGUAAAUGCUGAAAUUCCAUUGUGUUGUCCAUUAAGAAUGGGGAACUAUUUCUUCAGCUGGAGUGCCAGUGCACUAAAUUAUGUGUUCUGGCUAUCCCUAGUGAUGGCUUUAUUAAAUCUCAGUGAAACUGUCAGCUCUGGACUUGCAGGGAUGCUGGCUUGCUUUUGUUUGGGAAUUUACUGAAGCCAACAUCCAGGUAAUGAUUUUUUAAAUUUUUUUAAAUUUUUAUUAAAAGCAUCCAGCUUCUCCACUUGUAAAUAUCACAGUAUGGAUUCUAGUAAACUAGUAAACAAACUAGUAAAAUGUCACCUAUUUCUUUAUGGUCAGUUCACUUGACACCUGUGGCUGUGAUGUCCAGGACAAGAACAUCUUACCAAAUUCAGUAACUUCACGGAAAGAACUACUGUCCAAACACAAGUAAUUGGUAUUUGCCUUCUUCCUUUCCCCACACAGCAAAAUAUUUGUACUGAAUAGCUUUUCCCCCCCUUUACUACAGAUUUGAAUGCUUGUCAGUGCCAUCCCUGUCCUUAGAAUGUACUAGCCCAUGAUGUGACUCUCACAGCAGAGCUGUUUGAUAAGAACCUGUUUGUUGCCUUUCCUGUCAAUUCUGUAGCUUUGGCUUUAAAAGUUAGUUUAAUCCAAACCAGAAAAAGAAUGGUGGCCUGUGUAUCAGUUAUGUUUCUUGUCCUGAUUGAUGUACUUGAAGAUCAUUCAAUCGUAUUAAACAUACCUUGAUUCAGCAAGUACAGGUGUGAGUCUGUUAGGAGGUGAUUCACAAGUUUUUAGUCACCUGCCUUUUUAUUUAAUGCACAACACACAUCCAGUAGGUUUUUUCUAAUUUGAGCAUGAUAUGGUGAUGGGCUCAGUUGCAUCUUGCCUUUUUUUGGCAAUAAAACAGUAUAUUAGAACAGUUCACCAGUGUCAAAAGCUCUGUCUGUUGGUUUUAUAGAAGACAGAUGGUGGCUUUUUUCAGUAACUUGGUAUUUCUUGCUUUCAUGAGGCAGUGAGACUCCUGUCUGCACAAAUAUCAAACCCAGGUACUGCUCAGGAUUAUGGUACAGCAUGAGGCUUCAGGUUACAUAUGUGCGAAGAGCUCCUGCAUCUCUGAGGUGUUCACAAACCUCCUCCCUUUCCUGUCCUGCAGGAGCUCUGAAUUUGAAGUGACCCAGCCCUUUGUCAUCUGAGGAGCUGGACCUUUUCCUGCUGCCCUGGUUAGGGCUGGGGUAAAGCUGGGUGCAGUGCACACCCUUAGAGGUCUGGGGGAACUUCACAAGUCUGGGAGUUCUUAUAAAACACUGCUCAAGAGCUGCCCCUCAGCAUCACCUGCCUUAAGACAGAGGGUGAUACCUGGGUGCAAGGCUCUGCUCAUCCACUCACCUCACUUUUCCUCUUACAGUUGCAAGAGCUCUGGCUAAAACUUGCAAAUGAUGGAAUAGUUGAUAAUGUAACAAAUCAAAAGUUCUUUCAUUAAAAUAAAAAUUUCUAAUUUAAAAAUCACAUUUGUAUCAUCAAAGGUCUAGUAAAGCUGCUGUCUGAGCCUUGGCCUCUCCUUGAAGACACAGUGACCGUGCUUUCUCUGGCUUGUUCCAGAAUCUGCUUGAUUGAGGAUUGGAGGGGGAGAUAUUUUCUCUGAGUGGCCCCAAGCCCAAAGUGCCUGUGGUGGAAAAGCUCUGUCUCCCUUUGUGGGAUGAUCCUUGCCCUCCUGAAUACUGCUAGGUCGUAGCUGAGAGGGAAGCUGGGAGUGUUGUGCUCUGAGGUUGGGAAUGGCUUUAGCUCUAAGCUGCAGAAUGGUGGCAAUACUGCAGUGGGUUAUGCUGGCUUGGCUUGAGGAAGAUUGAAGCCAGGGAAGGGUGAAAUUAGUGCCUGCAGAAGGAGGGAGAAGUGGACAGGUUGCAGUGAAUGAAUUGUGCAAAUCACUGAGGUGAGUGCUCCAGCAGAGAAGUGCCCAUGUUCAAUGCCCAGCUUCUGUGCCCAUUACUCUUGUGCCUCUGGUACCUAUUCCUGGGAAACCUCUCUGUUGUGCAAACUCCAGAGGGUGGCAUAGGUACUGUAUAGGGGCUAAAUAAUGUUUGUUCAUCAUUAAUAAAUGCUAUUUGUGUAACUCUGUUGUGGAAAAAAGUUCAGCAGGGCAUGCAUGAUUGUAUUACAAUGGGGGCAUAGUGACUACCACUCUUUUCCAGAAGUAUCUGACAGCAAGCUGUUCUCUUACUCCCUUUCCAAUAGACCACUCUUGAAUAGCUGCUAAUAUUGCUAUAGUCUAAUCAAACAUUAGUGGUAAAAGUGCUCCCAAAAAAAUAAAUUAUUAAAAAUACAUAAAAAUUCUUACACUUGAUUAUGGAUCUGUGUUUAAAAAGAAGAAAAAAGAAAACCACUUGGCAGGCUGAUGACAGUGUUAAAAUACUCUGUCACUGAAGUUGAAAGUCUUCCCAGUUCCCAGAUAAAUGUUUUAUUUAAACAAAUGCUUGAAAUAUUUAAUGAGCUGUUCUAACUUGAUGGGCAUUUUUUGUUUCUUUUUAUCAAUAAUGAUAUUUCUUGCAAUGAAAAUCUUAAUGUGUACAAAACUUCAAGGAGUUACCUGGAGUACAUUUCAGGCACCACUGGAAGGGCAAGCUAGGCAUGUAUCCACUGGGAUUUUUCUGAGAUGUGCUGCACUGUGCUGGGACAGUUCCUGAGCUGGCAGAGAGGAGCCAGGAUUUCUUCAUUUAAUAACAGAGGUAGAAGAAUUUCAAACCACCAUGAAUGGGAGCUUUUUUUAUGCAAAGACUUGAUGUGCUGGACUGAUUUCUAAUAGAAACUAACUCUAACCAUCUUCCCUCCUCUGCUAAAUUACACAGUUGUACUUUUUUCCUUACUGCAAUGUGGGAUAUGUUUUCCCAUUGGAAUGUAUUGGGUUGACCGUGAGUUGAUGGACAGUCUUUAAGACCAAUUACGCUUCUCACAAUUUACAUAUUUAAACUGCACAGAAAGGCGGGACUGCCCCUUUUUGUCGGAGGUGGCCUGCUGGAAGGUGGGGGGGCUCCGAGCCUCCCGGCCCCGCCAGGCUGGGCCGGGGCCACUGCCCCUUUCCCCC